rnacentral:rRNA from 1 species
UACGGAGGGUGCAAGCGUUAUCCGGAUUCACUGGGUUUAAAGGGUGCGUAGGCGGCCCGGCAAGUCAGUGGUGAAAGCCCGCAGCUCAACUGCGGAAUUGCCAUUGAAACUGUCAAGCUCGAGUAUAAUUGAAGUUGGCGGAAUACAUCAUGUAGCGGUGAAAUGCUUAGAUAUGAUGUAGAACACCGAUCGCGAAGGCAGCUAACUAAAUUAUCACUGACGCUGAGGCACGAAAGCGUGGGUAGCAAACAGG